rnacentral:rRNA from 1 species
UACGUAGGGUGCGAGCGUUAAUCGGAAUUACUGGGCGUAAAGCGUGCGCAGGCGGUUUUGUAAGCCAGAUGUGAAAUCCCCGGGCUUAACCUGGGAAUGGCAUUUGGGACUGCAAGGCUCGAGUGCGGCAGAGGAGACUGGAGUUCCUGGUGUAGCAGUGAAAUGCGUAGAUAUCAGGAGGAACACCGAUGGCGAAGGCAGGUCUCUGGGCUGACACUGACGCUCAUGCACGAAAGCGUGGGGAGCAAACAGG